UAUCGAGACAGUGGCAAAUGGGUGAGUAACGCGUAAGUAACCUGCCCCUAAGCAAGGAAUAACUCUGAGAAAUCGGAGCUAAUACCUUAUGUGGUGGUGGAGGUAAGGCUUCAUCACUAAAGUCUUCGGGCACUUAGGGAGGGGCUUGCGUCCGAUUAGCUAGUUGGUACGGUAACGGCUUACCAAGGCAGUGAUCGGUAGCUGGUCUGAGAGGACGACCAGCCACAUUGGGACUGAGACACGGCCCAGACUCCUACGGGAGGCAGCAGCAAGGAAUAUUGUGCAAUGGGCGAAAGCCUGACACAGCGACGCUGCGUGAGGGAAGAAGGCCUUCGGGUUGUAAACCUCUUUUUUCAGGGAAGAAUAAUGACGGUACCUGAAGAAUAAGUCUCGGCUAACUACGUGCCAGCAGCCGCGGUAAUACGUAGGAGGCGAGCGUUAUCCGGAUUUACUGGGCGUAAAGCGGGCGUAGGUGGCUUUUCAAGUCGGAUGUAAAAUCUCCCUGCUUAACGGGGAGGGGUCAUUCGAUACUGUUGAGCUAGAGGGCAGCAGAGGGAGGUGGAAUUCCCGGUGUAGUGGUGAAAUGCGUAGAUAUCGGGAGGAACACCAGUGGCGAAGGCGGCCUCCUGGGCUGUUGCUGACGCUGAGGCCCGAAAGCGUGGGGAGCGAACAGGAUUAGAUACCCUGGUAGUCCACGCUGUCAACGAUGGGCACUAGGUAUAGGGAGUAUCGACCCUCUCUGUGCCGAAGCUAACGCGUUAAGUGCCCCGCCUGGGGA
rnacentral:rRNA from 1 species